rnacentral:rRNA from 1 species
UGGGAGCUUGCUCCCUGAUGUUAGCGGCGGACGGGUGAGUAACACGUGGGUAACCUGCCUGUAAGACUGGGAUAACUCCGGGAAACCGGGGCUAAUACCGGAUGCUUGUUUGAACCGCAUGGUUCAAACAUAAAAGGUGGCUUCGGCUACCACUUACAGAUGGACCCGCGGCGCAUUAGCUAGUUGGUGAGGUAACGGCUCACCAAGGCAACGAUGCGUAGCCGACCUGAGAGGGUGAUCGGCCACACUGGGACUGAGACACGGCCCAGACUCCUACGGGAGGCAGCAGUAGGGAAUCUUCCGCAAUGGACGAAAGUCUGACGGAGCAACGCCGCGUGAGUGAUGAAGGUUUUCGGAUCGUAAAGCUCUGUUGUUAGGGAAGAACAAGUACCGUUCGAAUAGGGCGGUACCUUGACGGUACCUAACCAGAAAGCCACGGCUAACUACGUGCCAGCAGCCGCGGUAAUACGUAGGUGGCAAGCGUUGUCCGGAAUUAUUGGGCGUAAAGGGCUCGCAGGCGGUUUCUUAAGUCUGAUGUGAAAGCCCCCGGCUCAACCGGGGAGGGUCAUUGGAAACUGGGGAACUUGAGUGCAGAAGAGGAGAGUGGAAUUCCACGUGUAGCGGUGAAAUGCGUAUAGAUGUGGAGGAACACCAGUGGCGAAGGCGACUCUCUGGUCUGCAACUGACGCU